CCUACGGGAGGCAGCAGUGGGGAAUAUUGCACAAUGGGGGAAACCCUGAUGCAGCAACGCCGCGUGGGUGAAGGAGCGUUUCGGCGCGUAAAGCACUGUCAGCGGGGAGGAAGGAAGACGGUACCCGACCCAGAAGCACCGGCUAACUACGUGCCAGCAGCCGCGGUAAUACGGAGGGGGCGAGCGUUAUCCGGAAUUACUGGGUGUAAAGGGAGCGGAGACGGCGAGGUAAGCCUGAAGUGGAAGCCCGGGGCCCAACCGCGGAACUGCUUUGGGAACUGUUUUGCUGGAGUAUGGGAGGGGUAAGUGGAAUUCCUGGUGUAGCGGUGAAAUGCGUAGAUAUCAGGAGGAACACCGGUGGCGAAGGCGGCUUACUGGACGAUAACUGACGUUGAGGUGCGAAAGCGUGGGGAGCGAACAGGAUUAGAUACCCUGGUAGUC
rnacentral:rRNA from 1 species